AGUUUGAUCCUGGCUCAGGAUGAACGCUGGCGGCGUGCUUAACACAUGCAAGUCGAGCGAAGCAUUCUGCUUUAAAUCUUCGGAGGCGAAGCAGUCUGACUGAGCGGCGGACGGGUGAGUAACGCGUGGGCAACCUGCCUCAUACAGGGGGAUAACAGUUAGAAAUGACUGCUAAUACCGCAUAAGACCGCGGUACCGCAUGGUACAGCGGUAAAAACUCCGGUGGUAUGAGAUGGGCCCGCGUCUGAUUAGCUAGUUGGCGGGGUAACGGCCCACCAAGGCGACGAUCAGUAGCCGACCUGAGAGGGUGACCGGCCACAUUGGGACUGAGACACGGCCCAAACUCCUACGGGAGGCAGCAGUGGGGAAUAUUGCACAAUGGGGGAAACCCUGAUGCAGCGACGCCGCGUGAGCGAUGAAGUAUUUCGGUAUGUAAAGCUCUAUCAGCAGGGAAGAAAAUGACGGUACCUGACUAAGAAGCCCCGGCUACCUACGUG
rnacentral:rRNA from 1 species